UGUUUUGCUGCUGAACUGAACAGCUAUUUUGAUGUUGCUGUUUUCCCGCUGAGCUGAACCAUGUCAUGCUGCUGUUUGAUCGGAAAAAAUCAUGUAUCCGAUCAUUGCUAUGGAAGCCAUUAUCAAAAUUUAAAUUGUUCUGCUGAACUACGUGCAGUUAACUGAAAUUGGACUGAGGAUCGUUGCAGCGACAAGGUGCUAGGUGGAAGGGCUCCGAGGAGGAAGAGGAGGAGUGGAGGACGUAGGAGGGGUCGUCAAAGGGGUGGAAGGAGCCGGGAUGGGGUCAGAGGGAGUAGCCGAGGGAAGGCGGCGGGGCCGUCGAGGACGUUCAGCUGGAGCUCAGCUUGGCUGCCCUCCCUUUACCAUAGUUGUGGAGGCGACGGGAGAUCUGAGAGCAUCUCCAACGGGGCGACGCAUUUUAGACGUCCAAAAGUGGUCGCGAGCGUUGAUACGUCUCCAACGUAUCCAUAAUUUCUGAUGUUCCAUGCUUGUUUUAUGACAAUACUUAUAUGUUUUUCUCGCACUUUAUGAUGUUUUUAUGCGUUUUCCGGAA